rnacentral:rRNA from 1 species
AGUGAACGCUGGCGGUAGGCCUAACACAUGCAAGUCGAACGGCAGCACAGUAAGAGCUUGCUCUUACGGGUGGCGAGUGGCGGACGGGUGAGGAAUACAUCGGAAUCUACUUUUUCGUGGGGGAUCACGUAGGGAAACUUACGCUAAUACCGCAUACGACCUACGGGUGAAAGCAGGGGAUCUUCGACCCUCGUCGUUUUAAUGGCCCGAUGUCGGAUUAGCUAGUUGGCGGGGUAAAGGCCCACCAAGGCGCCGAUCCGUAGCUGGUCUGAGAGGAUGAUCAGCCACACUGGAACUGAGACACGGUCCAGACUCCUACGGGAGGCAGCAGUGGGGAAUAUUGGACAAUGGGCGCAAGCCUGAUCCAGCCAUACCGCGUGGGUGAAGAAGGCCUUCGGGUUGUAAAGCCCUUUUGUUGGGAAAGAAAAGCAGCAGGUUAAUACCCCGCUGUUCUGACGGUACCCAAAGAAUAAGCACCGGCUAACUUCGUG